UGAGGAGCAAUAGUGCGGAGGUGUCUGCCGUGUCAGACAUUCUCCGCACUGAGGAGUGCCAGAAACAUUGGCAUAUUAUAAAAUCUGAGGCAAGACGGAACACCCGCAAGCAGAGAGAAGCCAUGACUGCCACAGAUGGUGGACCUCCUGCCAACCCUCCUCUCUCCCAGCACAAUGAGUUAAUCUUUGAGAUUUUGGACCCUAAGAAUGUCUCUAUUCAUGGGUGUACCAAUAAGGCAAGCAUCAUUGAAUGCACCUUCCUUAACAAAGGAUAAGCCACUUGUAGAUAUAGCAAUAUUAGGCCAUAAUGUUGUCUCAAAUGUCUGCAAUCCAAAAUACUCGUUCCCAUUUAGUUUACAACUUAGAGUUAAACACAAUGGUAAAUUUGUUAUCUAGUGUUGAGAAAAUUUCAUUUUUUUUUUUUAUUCUUUAACCAAACAGCUAAAACAGUAAUAAGAAAAAAAAAAAACUAAUAAAGUUAACUUAAUUCCUAUCCCUUCUCCCCCCUCAUAAAUAUGGUGUUGUAGUGGGUGAAUGUGUUAAUGAUAACGAGUCUUAGGGAUUUACAGUUUCUUAGACAUGGGCUUCCUUCAAACAGAAUAGGAUUUAAGUCAAACACAUUGUACCCUUAGCUAGAUUUACUGGUUUCUGUUACUUUUGUCCUUAGCAAUAAAACCAAAAACAUUAUCAGCUUAGUUUCUGAAGUUAGAACUAAUGAUGCCAGCAGUGUGCAGGCAGCAGAUGAUGCUGGGGAAGUGGCAGAGGCAGCCCAACAGAGAGAAGUGGUGACCGAGGCAGUGGGUGUUGAGGAGGAGGCACCUGCCACACCACUUGCAGCACCAACAGGGGCCAGACUUGCCUGGUACAUCACUGGUGUUUGUGGAUGAGGAGGAGAUCAUCCACCUGCAGAAGAAAAGGAAGCUUGAGCUUGCACUCCUUGAAGAAUCUAUAAUGGCUCAGGAAAGGAAGCAAGAAGCAGAACAGGCUAAGUACAUGUACUACACACAAAAACUAGAGUACCAGAAACAAACAAAUAAAAAAUAGUAAUAAAGAUAUAAAUAAUGUA